rnacentral:rRNA from 1 species
GAUGAACGCUGGCGGCGUGCCUAAUACAUGCAAGUCGAGCGAACAGACGAGGAGCUUGCUCCUCUGACGUUAGCGGCGGACGGGUGAGUAACACGUGGAUAACCUACCUAUAAGACUGGGAUAACUUCGGGAAACCGGAGCUAAUACCGGAUAAUAUAUUUAACCGCAUGGUUCAAUAGUGAAAGACGGUUUUGCUGUCACUUAUAGAUGGAUCCGCGCCGCAUUAGCUAGUUGGUAAGGUAACGGCUUACCAAGGCAACGAUGCGUAGCCGACCUGAGAGGGUGAUCGGCCACACUGGAACUGAGACACGGUCCAGACUCCUACGGGAGGCAGCAGUAGGGAAUCUUCCGCAAAGGGCGAAAGCCUGACGGAGCAACGCCGCGUGAGUGAUGAAGGUCUUCGGAUCGUAAAACUCUGUUAUUAGGGAAGAACAAAUGUGUAAGUAACUAUGCACGUCUUGACGAUACCUAAUCAGAAAGCCACGGCUAACUACGUG